CCCAAAAUGGUACGGAACACGGAAGUCAACAUGGCGGAUUUCUGACUUUUUUACCAAUUUUCAAAGAAAUCGCCAAACCUAAGAAGAAACCGGGUCUGACACUUGGGAAAAGAAGUGGAUAAAGAAGCAAAAUAAGAAUAUCAAUAUCAAAGUAACUUUCCAAUUGCCGCAAUCCGUCAAGAAAUCACAAGCGAAAAGGCUGCUUACGCCAUCUAAAUCCCCUAUGUACAACAUAUCUCCAGUAAAUAAAAAAUAAAGUGAAUUUGGUCACCUGACGUUUC
rnacentral:lncRNA from 1 species